rnacentral:rRNA from 1 species
GACGAACGCUGGCGGCGUGCCUAAUACAUGCAAGUCGAACGCUUCUUUCCUCCCGAGUGCUUGCACUCAAUUGGAAAGAGGAGUGGCGGACGGGUGAGUAACACGUGGGUAACCUACCCAUCAGAGGGGGAUAACACUUGGAAACAGGUGCUAAUACCGCAUAACAGUUUAUGCCGCAUGGCAUAAGAGUGAAAGGCGCUUUCGGGUGUCGCUGAUGGAUGGACCCGCGGUGCAUUAGCUAGUUGGUGAGGUAACGGCUCACCAAGGCCACGAUGCAUAGCCGACCUGAGAGGGUGAUCGGCCACACUGGGACUGAGACACGGCCCAGACUCCUACGGGAGGCAGCAGUAGGGAAUCUUCGGCAAUGGACGAAAGUCUGACCGAGCAACGCCGCGUGAGUGAAGAAGGUUUUCGGAUCGUAAAACUCUGUUGUUAGAGAAGAACAAGGACGUUAGUAACUGAACGUCCCCUGACGGUAUCUAACCAGAAAGCCACGGCUAAUUACGUG